GUCCCAGGACCUUGGUCAGACAGUAAGGCAUGAGCAGAGCAAGGACAAUGGGCCAGGUAUGGAAGGUCACCAAGGCAAAAAGCCCUGGGUACCUAGCAAUAGACAAAACUGGGAAAAAAAGGACCUCACCCCCAGGGUAUCCUUUCUUUCCCUAGUCAGGUCAGGUGGUUUAGAUCCCCUGACCUUCCAUAUUGCUGAUCAUGCAGUUUGGAUCCUUCCCUGAGCUUUCCUUCUCUGGCAUGUUGCU